rnacentral:rRNA from 1 species
GUGAUGAAGGCCCUAGGGUCGUAAAGCUCUUUCGCCAGGGAUGAUAAUGACAGUACCUGGUAAAGAAACCCCGGCUAACUCCGUGCCAGCAGCCGCGGUAAUACGGAGGGGGUUAGCGUUGUUCGGAAUUACUGGGCGUAAAGCGCGCGUAGGCGGAUCAGAAAGUUGGGGGUGAAAUCCCGGGGCUCAACCCCGGAACUGCCUCCAAAACUCCUGGUCUUGAGUUCGAGAGAGGUGAGUGGAAUUCCGAGUGUAGAGGUGAAAUUCGUAGAUAUUCGGAGGAACACCAGUGGCGAAGGCGGCUCACUGGCUCGAUACUGACGCUGAGGUGCGAAAGUGUGGGGAGCAAACAGGAUUAGAUACCCUGGUAGUCCACACCGUAAACGAUGAAUGCCAGUCGUCGGGUAGCAUGCUAUUCGGUGACACACCUAACGGAUUAAGCAUUCCGCCUGGGGAGUACGGUCGCAAGAUUAAAACUCAAUAA